GUCACACCUGUUCCCAUGCUGAACACAGAAGUUAAG
rnacentral:rRNA from 1 species